AUGCAUAAAAUCUGAGUAGAACAAGUUUGCUUAAUUUUGUAUGCACUCAAAACAGUGGGAUGUGCAUUUGUAUUUAUCAGAGUCCCUGUAAUAUCCAACAUCAUAGCGCUACUUUUUGUGCAAUUUGAGCCACUGUCUGCCGCGAAUCUUUGCAUGAAAACUAUUAAUUCAAAAUCAAUACUGUAUCAUAAAAAAUGAUAUCGC